rnacentral:lncRNA from 1 species
GGCACUGGAAGGGUUUUCAAAGUGAGUCUAAAGUAAUUAGGAGCUCCUGCUGAUGGAUUGCACUGGAGAGACAUGUGGAUUAUUUAUUACAAAGUCACUUGCUGGAAAGGUUAGAGGCUGAGAAGUAAUUAUUUUUUCCUUUUCUUCUUCUUCUUCUCUCUCUCUUUUUUUUUUUUUUAAUGGAGGAAUCAUCAGGGGAGAGCAGCCAGAGUUCCUCCAUGAAAUAUUCCCUCCUGCCUAAGUCCACUUCUCCCAAAAUGGCAAAUAGGACAGGGCCCCCAGGGAGGACAUGAGGAGCUCCGGAGCUCCCGGAACUGGAAUUUUGCUUUGUGUUGAAGUCUCUGCCCACACCCACCCUGGUUAAGGGAUGUGGAGGGGAUCCCUGCUUUUCAACCCAAACAUUUGGAAUCUCUGGAAGCUUCCCAUCUACCAGCCAAGCUCACAAAGCCUGUGCCACGUCUGGCACAUGUCUGGUAGAUGCUGAGCAGUAUUUGGAAGGCUCAGUGCUUCCAGCAACCUCAGCUCCCUGGUGCUCUCCUGCCAGGAGGAGGCUGAAGCAAGAGGACGAGCAGAGAAAGGAAGCAUCCCCACCCCAUCCCUCUGCUGCGGGGCAUUGCCCACAUCCAUCAGCCCAUCACCCCCUCCCCAUCACUUCCACCUCUGCCCACAUCACUGGGAUGGAGCUGCACCCUGAGGUCCCCCNNNNNNNNNNNNNNNNNNNNCGGUGCCAUCCCAGUCCUGCAGAGCCGCAGUGCAGCCGUUGGCGGGGCUUUGUCAGGAACCAAACACAGUAACUGUUUAACGAUUUAACUGCACUAAUGAAUAUUGGGCCAGAUAUUUUCAAGGCCUGUUCAGACUGAUUACUUGGAGAGCUGAGUAUG